rnacentral:rRNA from 1 species
GAUGAACGCUGGCGGCGUGCCUAAUACAUGCAAGUCGAGCGAACGGACGAGAAGCUUGCUUCUCUGAUGUUAGCGGCGGACGGGUGAGUAACACGUGGAUAACCUACCUAUAAGACUGGGAUAACUUCGGGAAACCGGAGCUAAUACCGGAUAAUAUUUUGAACCGCAGGGUUCAAAAGUAAAAGACGGUCUUGCUGUCUCUUAUAGAUGGAUCCGCGCUGCAUUAGCUAGUUGGUAAGGUAACGGCUUACCAAGGCAACGAUGCAUAGCCGAACUGAGAGGGUGAUAGGCCACACUGGAACUGAGCCACGGUCAAGACUCCUACGGGAGGCAGCAGUAGGGAACCUUCCGCAAUGGGCGAAAGCCUGACGGAGCAACGCCGCGUGAGUGAUGACGGUCUUCGGAUCGUAAAACUCUGUUAUUAGGGAAGAACAUAUGUGUAAGUAACUGUGCCCAUCUUGACGGUACCUAAUCAGAAAGCCACGGCUAACUACGUG